rnacentral:tRNA from 1 species
GGAGAUGUGGCUCAGAGGUAGAGUGCUUGCUUUGCAUGCAGAAGGCCCUGGGUUCAAUACCCAGUACUUCA